GACGUAGGGUGCAAGCGUUGUCCGGAUUUAUUGGGCGUAAAGAGCUCGUAGGCGGUGUGUCGCGUCGGCCGUGAAAACCUGCAGCUUAACUGUGGGCUUGCGGUCGAUACGGGCAUCACUGGAGUUCGGCAGGGGAGACUGGAAUCCUGGUGUAGCGGUGAAAUGCGUAGAUAUCAGGAGGAACACCGAUGGCGAAGGCAGGUCUCUGGGCAUUAACUGACGCUGAGGAGCGAAAGCAUGGGGAGCGAACAGG
rnacentral:rRNA from 1 species